AGCCUGAGCACACGAUGAGCUGGUGGCUAGGUUCUUGGCUGCCUGGCCUCCUUUACAUCCUACUAUUUUUUUCAGCCCAGCCCAGCUCUAUUGACUUCCUGCUGAUUUGGGAAGGUCUUGAGACCAAAAAGAGCCACACUGAUGGAGUAACCACUGCUUAUCAACUACAGAUUCUGGACUUUAAAGUACACUUCUUUACUGAAUGUUUCUUAGAAACAACAAUUGGUUGUUUCCCUUGCCUUCCCUGCUGACACAGAUAUGCCCUAUGCCAUAGCCAAGUUAGGCUGCUAUUAAGCCCUUGGGUUUUACCAGGUGCACUUACCGGAAUUCAUGGUGGCAAAUAAAAGAAUAAGAUAACAUUCUUAAGCAAAGGACAAUAUUUACCUA
rnacentral:lncRNA from 1 species